AAUCCUUUAACGAGGAUCUAUUGGAGGGCAAGUCUGGUGCCAGCAGCCGCGGUAAUUCCAGCUCCAAUAGCGUAUAUUAAAGUUGUCUGGUUAAAAAGCUCGUAGUUGGAUCUCAGUUCGAGUCAGGCGGUCCACUUGCCAGUGGCUACUGCCUGACUGAACACUUUACCGAGUUGUCCUAUGGUGUUCUUCACCGAGCGUCAUAGGCGAUCGGUACGUUUACUUUGAAAAAAUUAGAGUGCUCAAAGCAGGCGUAACGCCCGAAUAAUGUUGCAUGGAAUAAUGGAAUAGGACCUCGGUUCUAUUUUGUUGGUCUUCGGAAUCAGAGGUAAUGAUCAAUAGGGACAGACGGGGACAUUCGUAUUGCGGCGCUAGAGGUGAAAUUCUUGGACCGUCGCAAGACGAACUAAAGCGAAAGCAUUUGUCAAGAAUGUUUUCAUUAAUCAAGAACGAAAGUUAGAGGUUCGAAGGCGAUCAGAUACCGCCCUAGUUCUAACCAUAAACGAUGCCAACCAGUAAUUCGUCUGAGUUCCUUAAAUGACUCGACGAGGGACUUCCGGGAAACCAAAGUCUUUCGGUUCCAGGGGAAGUAUGGUUGCAAAGCUGAAACUUAAAGAAAUUGACGGAAGGGCACCACCAGGAGUGGAGCCUGCGGCUUAAUUUGACUCAACACGGGAAAACUCACCCGGCCCGGACACUGGAAGGAUUGACAGAUUGAGAGCUCUUUCUUGAUUCAGUGGGUGGUGGUGCAUGGCCGUUCUUAGUUGGUGGAGUGAUUUGUCUGGUUAAUUCCGAUAACGAACGAGACUCUAGCCUACUAAAUAGAUCGUCGGCUUACAAACGCCGGCGAGACUUCUUAGAGGGACAGGCGGUGAUUCAACCGCACGAAACAGAGCAAUAACAGGUCUGUGAUGCCCUUAGAUGUCCGGGGCCGCACGCGCGCUACACUGAAGUGAUCAGCGUGCUUUUUCAACCUACUCUGUCAAGAGUGGGGAACCCAAUGAACCUUCUUCGUGAUUGGGAUAGGGGAUUGUAAUUAUUCCCCUUGAACGAGGAAUUCCCAGUAAGCGCGAGUCAUAAGCUCGCGUUGAUUACGUCCCUGCCCUUUGUACACACCGCCCGUCGCUACUACCGAUUGAAUGUUUUUAGUGAGGUCUUCGGACUGGCCGGCGCAGCACUCUCGUAGUGCAGCGCUGUGUUUGGAAAGAUGCCCAAACUUGAACAUUUAGAGGAAGUAAAAGU
rnacentral:rRNA from 1 species